GGUUCAGUUUCGAAUUAUAAUAUUUAAUCGACUGUCCCUAGCGUGAGUGAUAAAGGAGUUGAUGACUGAUACACGAGGUUUCAGGUUUGGAAUCCUAAUUUAUUUAUAUUUCUAGUUAAAUUUAUUUUUAAAUAAAAUAAACAAAGCGGAUAGUAUGUUACCUAUAUUUUCAAAAUAAAAAAAAAUUACAGUGUCUAAUUGUAGAUUUGUAGGCUUUGAUGAGUGUUUUAUA
rnacentral:lncRNA from 1 species